UACCGCUGUCCUGGGUGCCUGG
rnacentral:miRNA from 1 species